rnacentral:tRNA from 1 species
GGGGGUGUAGCUCAGCUGGCAGAGCAUCGCGUUUGCAACGCGGGUGUCGGGUGUUCGAAUCACCUCACCUCCACCA